rnacentral:rRNA from 1 species
AGUGAACGCUGGCGGUAGGCCUAACACAUGCAAGUCGAACGGCAGCACAGUAAGAGCUUGCUCUUACGGGUGGCGAGUGGCGGACGGGUGAGGAAUACAUCGGAAUCUACUUUUUCGUGGGGGAUAACGUAGGGAAACUUACGCUAAUACCGCAUACGACCUACGGGUGAAAGCAGGGGAUGUUCGGACCUUGCGCGAUUGAAUGAGCCGAUGUCGGAUUAGCUAGUUGGCGGGGUAAAGGCCCACCAAGGCGACGAUCCGUAGCUGGUCUGAGAGGAUGAUCAGCCACACUGGAACUGAGACACGGUCCAGACUCCUACGGGAGGCAGCAGUGGGGAAUAUUGGACAAUGGGCGCGAGCCUGAUCCAGCCAUACCGCGUGGGUGAAGAAGGCCUUCGGGUUGUAAAGCCCUUUUGUUGGGAAAGAAAAGCAGCAGGUUAAUACCCCGCUGUUCUGACGGUACCCAAAGAAUAAGCACCGGCUAACUUCGUG